rnacentral:rRNA from 1 species
GUGAGGAAUAUUGCGCAAUGGAGGCAACUCUGACCCAGCCAUGCCGCGUGCAGGAUGACGGCCCUCUGGGUUGUAAACUGCUUUUAUACGGGAAGAAAAAAUACUACGUGUAGUAUACUGACGGUACCGUAAGAAUAAGGAUCGGCUAACUCCGUGCCAGCAGCCGCGGUAAUACGGAGGAUCCAAGCGUUGUCCGGAUUUAUUGGGUUUAAAGGGUGCGUAGGCGGAUCUUUAAGUCAGUGGUGAAAGCCUGCAGCUUAACUGUAGAAUUGCCAUUGAAACUGAAGAUCUUGAAUGUGGUUAAAGUAGGCGGAAUGUAUCAUGUAGCGGUGAAAUGCUUAGAUAUGAUACAGAACACCGAUAGCGAAGGCAGCUUGCUGAACCAUUAUUGACGCUGAGGCACGAAAGCGUGGGGAGCGAACAGGAUUAGAAACCCGGGUAGUCC